UUUUUUUUUUCUUUUUCUAAAUCUCAUUUCCCUUGUUCUUGUUCUUAUUUCUAAAUUCUAAUUACCCUGAACCCAUAAGAAGAAGAUUCUUGAACUCGUGGCAUCAUAGUCAAAGAUGGAGUGUCUCCAUUGAAAAUCGUGCUACUUCCACCACCAACAUGAAAUUGGUCUCCAUCGGUCAUCAUUUCAAACAUUUUGAUAGAUUAAGGAUGAAGAUGAUAAGUGUGGAUCAAAAACAUGCGACUGGGCUAUUGGUCUCUUAAGUUUAAAUUCAGAAAUCAUCAAACAAGUUCAAAUCAAAUAACAGUUUCUUUUAGGUGAAUAUUUUCUAUUUGGCUUAUUUAAACCUUUAAUUGUACAACAUCUCUGUGAGUUGAUGAUAUACUCUCAUAAUGUUUGGUUGUCAAACAAUCUUAUUAUUCAACUCUAUGCAUGUCUCUAUGUUUUGCUAUGAGUUUCAAAUGUGGGGAAGAAUGCAUGAUAUUUAGCUUUGGGUGGGUUCCACUAUUGUGUAUAAUGACAUUAAGAAAUGAGUAUUGACAUGAAAAAUACUCCUUUUGGAUAUGCCUAUCGUUGAUUAAGAGGCUCAUUCAAUUGUGGAAAACAUGCAUGUUUGUACAAGAAAGUAAAUAAAGUUAUGGGAAACAAUUACAAGAUAA